rnacentral:rRNA from 1 species
GAUGAACGCUGGCGGCGUGCCUAAUACAUGCAAGUCGAGCGAACGGACGAGAAGCUUUCUUCUCUGAUGUUAGCGGCGGACGGGUGAGUAACACGUGGAUAACCUACCUAUAAGACUGGGAUAACUUCGGGAAACCGGAGCUAAUACCCGAUAAUAUUUUGAACCGCAUGGUUCAAAAGUUAAAGACGGUCUUGCUGUCGCUUAUAGAUGGAUCCGCGCUGGAUUAGCUAGUUGGUAAGGUAACGGCUUAGCAAGGCAACGAUGCAUAGCCGACCUGAGAGGGUGAUCGGCCACACUGGAACUGAGAAACGGUACAGACUCCUACGGGAGGCAGCAGUAGGGAAUCUUCCGCAAUGGGCGAAAGCCUGAUGGAGCAACGCCGCGUGAGGGAUGAAGGUCUUCGGAUCGUAAAGCUCUGUUAUUAGGGAAGAACAUAUGCGUAAGUAACUGUGCACAUCUUGACGGUACCUAAUCAGAAAGCCACGGCUAACUACGUG